rnacentral:rRNA from 1 species
AAGCCCGGGGCUCAACCUCGGAACCGCAUUUGAAACUGGCAGGCUAGAGUCUUGUAGAGGGGGGUAGAAUUUCAGGUGUAGCGGUGAAAUGCGUAGAGAUCUGAAGGAAUACCAGUGGCGAAGGCGGCCCCCUGGACAAAGACUGACGCUCAGAUGCGAAAGCGUGGGUAGCAAACAGGAUUAGAUACCCUGGUAGUCCACGCCGUAAACGCUGUCUACUUGGAGGUUGAGGUUUAAGACUUUGGCUUUCGGCGCUAACGCAUUAAGUAGACCGCCUGGGGAGUAUGGCCGCAAGGUUAAAACUCAAAUGAAUUGACGGGGGCCCGCACAAGCGGUGGAGCAUGUGGUUUAAUUCGAUGCAACGCGAAGAACCUUACCUACUCUUGACAUCCAGCGAAUCCUUUAGAGAUAGAGGCGUGCCUUCGGGAGCGCUGAGACAGGUGCUGCAUGGCUGUCGUCAGCUCGUGUUGUGAAAUGUUGGGUUAAGUCCCGCAACGAGCGCAACCCUUAUCCUUGUUUGCCAGCACAUAAUGGUGGGAACUCCAGGGAGACUGCCGGUGAUAAACCGGAGGAAGGUGGGGACGACGUCAAGUCAUCAUGGCCCUUACGAGUAGGGCUACACACGUGCUACAAUGGCAGAUACAGAGGGCAGCGAAGCUGCGAAGUGGAGCGAAUCCCUUAAAGUCUGUCGUAGUCCGGAUUGGAGUCUGCAACUCGAC